rnacentral:lncRNA from 1 species
UCUCUCUCUCUCUCUCUCUCUCAGACCAUCAUCGCCAUUGUUGAAGAUCCAACAGCAGACGGAAACUGGACCGACUGAAAGACGGAAACCAGCAAGCUCGAUCGGAAACCGUCAAAUCUCGAUCGGUGAGUUGGGAGAUUGUAUUGUGGGUUUCUGGGUUUCUAUGUUGAUGUUUUGUAGUUUGUACAGUGGGUUUCUGGGUUUCUGGUUUGAUUACUGUUAGUGAGUUUUGUUGUUGAUUACUGGGUUUCUGUCAAUUAUGAUUAACACGAAGCUCUUCUAGAAUAGGAUAUGCUGUUGGUGUUGCCAUUGACAUAUGAAACACGCCCUCAAUUUAUCUUGUCCUUUUCAGCCAUUAAGAUGAUGUAACAUAACAAAACGUGAUUGCUUAACAAGGUAAUGACUUGCAGAGCUUGAAGCAUACAAGCAUGAAGCAUCUGUGUUUACUGUCUAGGUUUUGGUUUUUAGCUGUUUUUUUCCUUUUUCAGUUUUUUUGUUCAAAGGCCCGUUUUGGGCUCGGUCCCAAACGAGAUUCGGGCCUAUCGGGAUCACUUCUAAAAAACACUAAUCCCGACCCGGCCCGUCCCUAUUCAAAAUUUCAGGUUCGGGUUCGAGAUCACCCUAAUCCCGGCCCGUCCCGGCCCAUGCCCAGGCCUACUUUAAUCCAACGGCUGGAUUCUACAUUAAAUCACCGCCAAAAUACCAAACUUCAGAAAUUCACCAACCUAUCCAAAACUCAUCCAAAAAUUCCAUAAUUUACAUCAAUAUACUCCCCUUAAUAUUCCACAUUUAAAACCAUAAAAAUCUCCCAAACAGCGGCGGCCGGAGGCCGAUUCCGGCGACCUCCAAUUCCUAUGAAAUUUUGACAGCAUAAUCCUCUCAUCAUGCUCUACAACUUUCCUAACUAGCACAAACCCAAAAUCCAAGCCUAGCUAUGUCAAUCGAACAAAAACAUCAAAAACGCCCUAGAGCUUCCACCUCAAAUUUCUCCUUACCUAAAGCAAACCGGAGUGAGUCCUUUUAGGGCAAGGCAGCUGGGUUAGAGACCUAUAAAACCGUACCAAGCUUGCCUAGAUUGGUGGCCGGAGGAAGGAGUUCCGGCGAUGGAGGACUUUGGGCAGCCCGAGGUUCUAGGCGGGAGAACUCCUUCACGGUGGCGCUAGGGCAGCCUUCACCGGCCUAGAAUGGAAGCUGGGUCGAAGGGCAACCGAACGGGACCGGAGCGGCGGCCUACGGUGGCCGGACGGCGGCAAGCUAAGCGGAGGAAACCAGCGGGGGAGAGAGAGCUCGGGAGGGAGAGAGAGAAGAGAGAAAUAGGCUUGGGCCUCCUACCAGGUCCAAGUCCUAUAUACAACCCAAUUCCAAAAAUAAAACAUCCCAAAAAAAUAAUACCCGAAUAAAAAUUACCUUUUACUAGCUAAAAUUUACCAUUUUUUACCGUCGUCAUAUUUUCCUCCUACGAAUAAUCCUCCGCACAUAAUCGUCCCCGAAACCCCUCUAGGGACCAAUUAAACUAUUACCUCAAUGACGGAGACGGUAAAAUUCUUAUUAUAACCAAGCUAGUAAAUAAGGUAAAAAUAUAAGGGUCGGGAUGUGACAAUUCUCCCCUCUUUAUAAAAUUUCGUCCUCGAAAUUUACAUACCUGUCAUUCGAAGAGAUAGGGAUAUUGCUGCAUCAUUUGCUCCUCUGAUUCCCAAGUAGUUUCUUCUACUUGAUGACUUCUCCAAAGUACCUUGACAAGUGGGAUUGUCUUGUUCCUGAGCACUUGCUUCUUUUGAUCAAGAAUCUGAACCGGAUCCUCUUCAUAAGACAAAUUUUUCAUCAAACUGAUCGGCUGCUCUUGCAGCACAUGAGAAGGAUCGGCAAUAUACUUGCGAAGCAUGGAUACAUGAAUCACAUUAUGUAUCCUGGAUAACUCUGGAGGCAAAGCUAAUCGAUAAGCAAGUGAGCCAACUCGCUCUAUUAUCUCAUAGGGGCCAAUAUACCUCGGGCUAAGUUUCCCAUGUUUUCCAAAACGUACUACCCCUUUCCAAAGAGAUAAUUUCAGGAACACCCAAUCACCCACUCGAAAUUCAAGGUCUUUCCUGCGGACAUCUACAUAACUCUUCUGCCUACUUUAAGCGGUCUUGAGUCUAUCUCUGACCACUUUAAUCUUCUCAUUUGUAACAUGAAUCAAUUCUGGGUCACAAAGCUCUUUUUCCCCUACUUCAUUCCAACACAAAGGCACACGACACUGCCUCCCAUAAAGUGCCUCAAAAGGAGCCAUACCAAUGCUAGAAUGAAAGCUAUUAUUAUAGGCAAAUUCCAUCAAAGAUAGGUUUUUAUCCCAACUCCCUCUGAACUGCAAGGCACAAGCCCUCAACAUAUCCUCCAAAGUCUGAAUAGUCCUCUCGGACUGCCCAUCAGUCUAAGGAUGAAAAGCAGUGCUGAAGAGCAAUUGGGUACCUAAAGCUGCCUGAAGAGCUCCCCAGAAUUUAGAAGCAAAUCUAGGAUCCCGAUCUGACACUAUUGAUUCAGUAACACCAUGAAGCCUAACAAUUUCAUUCACAUAAAGCUCCGCCAAUUUAUCCAAUUUAUACUUCUUUCCCACUGGCAAGAAAUGUGCAGACUUGGUGAGUCGAUCCACAAUCACCCAAAUACCGUCAUGCCCUUCACGGGUACGAGGUAAACUGAAAACAAAAUCCAUGGUGAUGUGGUCCCACUUCCACACUGGAAUAGGCAACGGCUCAAGCAAUCCAGAAGGCUUCUGCCUUUCAGCUUUUACUUGCUGACAAAUUCGACAUCUACUCACAUAAGCUGCAAUUUCCCUCUUCAUGUUUGGUCACCAAUAAUAAUCCUUCAAAAUCUGAUACAUUUUUGUGCUACCCGGAUGAGCAGCAUAUGCAGAACUAUGAGCUUCCUCCAUAAUCUCACUCUUCAACUCUUCAUUUCUUUUUGGAACACAAAGCCUAUUCUUAAACAAUAAAGUCCCAUCUCUUCUAACUGAAAAAUGAUCGGCUGCAGCUCCAUUCAAAGCUCUUUCUAUCAAUCGAACUAUGGAAGGAUCAUUAUUCUGUGCUUCCCGCACUCUAUCAACCAAAACUGGCCUCACAUAAAAACUGUCUACCAAAGCACCAACCUCAUCUACUGCUAAAUCCACCCCUGUAGCUCGCAACUCAUAAAGAAGCGGAACACGAACCAUCUUUAUAUGAAAUAAAGAUAUGGAGGGAUUUCAGCUAAGAGCAUCAGCUACAACAUUAGCUUUUCCAGGAUGAUACUCAAUAGUGCAAUCAUAAUCAUUGAUUAACUCCAUCCACCUUCUCUGUCUCAUAUUUAGCUCUCUUUGAGUGAACACAUACCGAAAACUCUUGUGAUCGGUAAAAAUUUGACACUUGGCUCCAUAAAGAUAGUGUCUCCACAGCUUGAGAGCAAAAACUACCACUGCAAGCUCCAGAUCAUGAGUAAGAUAAUUCCCCUCAUGCAGCUUCAAUUGCUUAGAAGCGUAGGCAAUAACUCGAUCAUGCUGCAUCAAAACUCCACUUAGACCACGUCUAGAAGCAUCACAAUAGACCACAUACUCUCCACUAUCAUUCGGAAGUGCCAAAACAGGAGCACUAGUCAAGCAAUUCUUCAAUUCUUGAAAACUUUGCUCGCAUAGAUUUGACCAUUCAAACUUAACCCCCUUCCUGGUCAAUCUUGUAAGAAGAGCAGCAAUCUUUGAAAAAUCUUUCACAAAGCGCCGAUAAUAACCUGCUAAUCCCAAUAAACUACGAAUCUCCGUCACAGUGGUGGGUCUUCUCCAAUUUGAUACUGCUUCCACCUUUUGGGGAUCCACACUAACUCCUUCUGUCGAAAUCACAUGACCCAAGAACCCCACUUUAUCUAGCCAAAACUCACACUUGCUAAACUUAGCAAAUAACUGCGAAUUUUCUAAAGUCCGCAAUAUUAUUCUUAGAUGCUUGGCGUGCUCCUUCUCACUUCUUGAGUAAACCAAGAUGUCAUCUCUGAAUAUGAUCACGAAACGAUCAAGAUAUGGACUAAACACCCUAUUCAUGAGAUCCAUGAACGCCGCGGGUGCAUUAGUAAGUCCAAAUGGCAUCACCACAAACUCAUAAUGACCAUAUCGUGACCGAAAAGCAGUCUUGGCUAUGUCCCCCUCUCGGAUCCGCAACUGAUGAUAACCCGAUCUCAAAUCGAUCUUAGAGAAAACAGAGGCACCCCUCAACUGAUCAAAUAAAUCAUCAAUCCGAGGCAACAAAUAUUUAUUCUUCACUGUGACCUGAUUCAACUUCCUAUAGUCAAUGCAUAGUCUCAUGGUGCCAUCUUUCUUCUUAACAAACAACACCGGAGCACCCCAUGGAGACAUGCUAGGCCGAAUAAAACCCUUGUCUACCAACUCCUGCAAUUGAAUCUUCAACUCUUUCAAUUCCGCUGGAGCCAUUCUGUAAGGUGCCUGAGAGAUAGGCAUGGUUCUGGGAAGUAAUUCUAUAGAGAAGUCUAUCUCCCUUACAGGAGGCAAACCAAGCAACUCUUCAGGAAAAACAUCCGGGAACUCCCUUACUACUGGAAUAUCUUCUAUUCUCACGACUCUCAUACUUGAAUCCACCACAUGAGCUAAAUAUGCUUGACAGCCUUUACUCAACAAUUUCCUUGCAGCAAUAGCGGAAAUUAUGCAACUAGAAAUAACAUCUCUUUCCCAUUGGAAAGCAACCUCAAAACCAUCUGGACUUCGAAGCACCACUACUUUCUGAAAACAAUCUACCAUAGCUCUAUAUGCUUCCAAAAAGUCCAUUCCCAAGAUCACAUCAAACUCCACUAUAUCUAGAGGAAUUAAAUCAGCCUCGAAAUUAACUCCUUCCACUAAAACUUCACAACCACUAAACACUCAAUUUAUCCUCAUCACCUCACCGGAGGGUAGAGACACAUGUCACUCGCCUGGAAGAGACGAUGAUGGCACAUUGGCAUGGAGGGCAAAUCUACUAGACAAGAAUGAAUGCGUGGCUCCGGGAUCAAUUAAAGUAAAUGCAAGCUGACCAAAAAUUAAUAACGUACCAAUGAUGACAUCUGGAGAAGUACGACCCUCCUGCUGGGUCAUAGCAUGCAGUCUAGCGCGAGUCAUGGGACGUCCACGCUGACCACCUCCCCGCUGAGAGCCACCUCUGACCGAAGCACUGCCCUGGGCACCACUACUAGAGCCCCUAGCUAAAGACUGACCAACUGGCUGAGUAGGGGUGGGGGUGGUCCUCUGAGCCAACAAUGGGCAAUCUCUCCUGAAGUGGUCUUGACCACCACUUCAAAGCACCCAGAAAACUGCUGCUGCCCAUAAGAAAAAGUCUGGCUACCGGAUGACCCACCAUGGAAGCUACCACCAGAACCAUACUGCCCAGACUGCUGCCUACCCAAAUGACUCCGAGAAGAACUUCUGAAACGUCCCUUAGACUUGCUUCGAACACCAAAGCUAGAUCUACCACUACUGCCACUACCAGCAAAAGACCCAGAAGCGGAUAAUGAAGCAGCCUUCUUGGAUGGACCUUGACUGGGGCCACUGAAAUCACGAGGCCGAGCACCAUAUGUCCCCAUGGACUCAAUGGCCAUGGCUGCAGUAACCGCAUCCAUAAAGGUCGGAUAAAUCACCCCCUUCAUCUUGUCUGCAUACACUCCACCAAGUGCCCCAAUGAACAUCUCAAUCCUGGUCCUCUCAUCAGGAACCAGAUAUGACACAUGGUAGCUCAGGGAAGUGAAUCUCUCCUGGAACUCUAUAACACCCUCAUCAUCCCUCUUCGUCAUAUGCAGGAAAUCUGACUGAAUUCUGCUGCAGUGGGCAUGAUUGAAAUACUGCCCCAAGAAGAGAGUCUUGAACUACUCCCAUGACAUAUUCAGAGCAUCCUCAAUAUUCCUGCUGGCAAGCGACCACCAGUGAUGUGCUGAAUCAUCCAGAAAAGUCACUGUCAUCUUCACCUUUCUUUCUUCUGGCAACUCAGUGCUCGCAAAAGCAUUUUCCAUCUUGUCCACCCAAUUGUGAGCAUCAAGAGGUCCCUUGGCACCCUUGAACUCUCUCGCUCCAGCAUCAAAAACUUCUCUCCUUUUCACCGUAGGAGGGCGUGGAGCUCGAUCCAUGACAUCCCUCAGCAUAUUUCCAAUAUCAUCAACCAGUCCCCUUACCUUAUUGCCCUCAUCGACAUUGGUCGAAGUAGCCACACGGGGUUGCCGUGGGCGCUUAGGAGGCAUAGUACCUGAGGAAGAAGAUAUUUAGUAGUCCAUAAAUAAGACUAACACAACUAUCACACAUACCCAAUAACACAUAGCAUCAAAAGCAUAAAAUGCCAAUGAAUCCGCCGCGGUCGGAUCAUCACUCUAUAGAAACUACAUGCUACUUAGGCAGACAUGAUAGUGACAAGGAAGCAGGAAAAGGAAACCUAAAGCUCUGAUACCAACUAACACGACCCACCCCGAAUUUCACCCUGCAACUCGGAGUAAGUUGUGCGGGGACCACCUCCAAGGAAAAUUUACCGUAAAGAUUGAUAAAACCUCCCUUGAAAAUGGACAACCCUAACUCGAAAAUUUCAAAUUUACACUCUUAUUACAGCACGUCCAAAGGUCACAUAAUUAUCCAGCUAAAAACAACAAAUCUUAUCCUUCAGAAAUUCUAAACAUGAAGUCAACCGACCGAGCACACUACCGAAAUAAUAUACAAUAAUCUCAAAGUAUUCAGAGCUACUAGACACUAGCGGAAUCAAGAAAACACUAGUAGGUUAAACAGGUAACCUACUGAUGAAAACUGGCGGAAAUGCGGGUGACUAUGCCUCGCCUCCUACUAGAUCCAACCCAAACUCUGCAGACUAGGCAUUUUAAAACAAAGAGCCCAAGGGAAGACAUUUGAAACCGUUAGAGUGAGUGGACAAAAAUAAAAUUUAAAAGAAAAUAAUUCUUUAUGCUUCCCAAAUUAACUUCUGAGGAAAAAUAGUUAACAGCAUGCAACAAGCUCCAAAAGCUUUUAAAAAAUUUACCGAAUUUACCGAAACGUGACUAGCCGCGCUAGUCACCAACACUUCAAAAAUAAGAGCCUCUCAGGCUAAAACAAAAUAUGUAUAUAUUACACUCGUCAUAUCCCUUGUAUGAAUUUUCUUGAAACAACAAAGACAAAUAGAAAAUUCACACAAGGCUAUGACGCUUGCGUCUAACGCUCACGUCGCACCAUAAUGGCAUUUUACCUCAUUAUGGUUGAAAAGACGGUGUAUAAAUAUAUAUAUACGCGCAUAUCCCCUAUAUAAAUUAUUAUAUUUAUAUAGGGCUACGACGAUUGCGUCUAACGCUCACGUCGCACCAUAAUGGCAUUUUACCUCAGUAUGAUGGAAAAGCACGUAUAGCUAGCUAGCAUUCCCUCAUAUACAUAUUAUUCUCAUAAUCAUCCAAAUAUGGAUAUAUAUACAUACUCACCGAAAUUCUCAAUUUCGGUUAUUCUCUAACCACAUAAAUUAUUUCGCAUGCACAUUAUUUAAAAUAAAAGUCCACUCACAAAUUAGGCCUAAGCCUAAUGUCGAUCUGGGGCCUCGUCUGCUUGAGCCUCCUCACGACCUGUUCCAAAAAUAAUAUUAAUUUCCCAGUCCGAAAUUCCAAUAUUUACGCAAAAUAUGCCAAAAUUAACCGAGAGCCAUAAACACGCUCGUCAUUGCCUAACUUCGAAAUGGUCCACAAUUCAACCCUAGAACCAGCAGCCGUAAUUACACCUUCCCACAGUUUAAACAACUUUAAUCCAACGGCCGGAUUCUACAUUAAAUCACCGCCAAAAUACCAAACUUUGGAAAUUCACCAACCUAUCCAAAACUCAUCCAAAAAUUCCAUAAUUUACAUCAAUAUACUCCCCUAAAUAUUUCACAUUUAACACCAUAAAAAUCUCCCAAACAGCGGCGGCUGGAGGCCGAUUCCGGCGACCUCCAAUUCCUAUGAAAUUUUGACAGCAUAAUCCUCUCAUCAUGCUCUACAACUUUCCUAACUAGCACAAACCCAAAAUCCAAGCCUAGCUAUGCCAAUCGAACAAAAACAUCAAAAACG